AAUGAACGCUGGCGGCAGGCCUAACACAUGCAAGUCGAGCGGACGAAGGGGGCUCGUGCCUGGAUUCAGCGGCGGACGGGUGUGUAGUGCCCACGAAUCUGCCUGGUAGGUGCGGAUAAUGUCGGCCAGCGGCCGCUGAUACCGCAUCCGUCCUGAGGCAGAACGGCGGGGAUCUUUGGCCCUCACGCUAUCAGCUGAGCCUAGGCCGUCUUAGCUAGUUGGUGGGGUUAAGGCCUACCAAGGCGACGAUCCGUAACUGUGCUGAGAGGCUGACCGGUCACACUAGAACUGAGACACGGUCCAGACUGCUACGGGAGGCAGCAGUCGGGAAUCUUCGCCACUGGGCGAAAGCCUGAUCCAGCGAUGCCGCGUGAGUGAUGAAGGCCUUGGGAGUGUAAAGCACUUUAAGGUGGGAGGAAGGGCAGUAUGAUAAUCCCUGGCUGUUUUGACGUUACCCAGAGAAGAAGCUCCGGCUAACUUCGUG
rnacentral:rRNA from 1 species